rnacentral:rRNA from 1 species
GACUACUAGGGUAUCUAAGCCCGUUCGCUCCCCUAGCUUUCGCCUCUCAGCGUCAGGUGCAGGCCAGAGAGCCGCUUUCGCCACUGGUGUUCCUCCUAGUAUCUGAGCAUUCCACCGCUACACUAGGAAUUCCGCUCCCCUCUCCUGUCCUCAAGUGACCUAGUUUUGGACGACCUUUUUCGGUUGAGCCGAAAUCUGUCACGCCCAACUUUGGCCACCGCCUACUUGCCCUUUACGCCCAGUAAAUCCGGAUAACGCUCGCCUCCUACGUUUUACCGCGGCUGCUGGCACGUAGUUAGCCGAGACUUGUUCCUGAAGUACCGUCCUUGCUCAUCCUUCAGAAAAGAGUUUUACGACCCGAAGGCCUUCGUCACUCACGCGGCGUUGCUGCAUCUGGCUUUCGCCCAUUGUGCAAUAUUCCUCACUGCUGCCCCCCGUAGG